CGUUAAAACACCGGUUCCUGUACGAUCAGCGAAGUUAAGCAAUGUAGUGCAUGGUCAGUCAGUACUUAGAUGGGUGACCGCUUGGGAAUUCUUGGUGCUC